GUAAAUAUAUUUAUAUUUUGGUGGGAAACUCAAUUUACAGCUGAAGAGUUUGUUAUAGGUGUGCUAAGCUAUUAUGAGCUAAACGUAAUUUGAUUGGCUAGUGUAGACAGCUUAGCUAAAGUAGUUAUUUUCCAUUCAAUGUAUAUAAAGCUCUUUGGUUUUCAUUGAUUAAUAUACGGAGAUCUUAUUCUUCAUUCCUCUGCUCCUUGCCUCAUCUCACGACACGAGGCUUGCUUCACCCUUCCUGUUGCUCCCUGCCUCACCUGGCGUUCCCCUUCCUAGAUGCUCCUGCGGUGCUCCUGUGUUCUUGUGUUCAUCGAGAAUCAAGACCUUUUGUAGUUUUGUUGAUGCCACCAGACCUCUUCAUGGGUAAUGGAUUUGUGUUUCAAUUGAUUUUGAUUGUGGUUUUGUGGUUCUAAUUGAACAUAUCUCUUGAUAGGUAAUGAGUUUAUGUUGUAAUUGAUUAUUUGAUUUACAUGUAAUUUAUACAAUUGAGUUUGUAAUUUGUGCAAUUGGGUUUCCGCAUUUUGAUGGGUUUGCAUUUUUACUGUAAUUGCAUGUAAUUUGUGCAACUGGGUUUGUAAUUUUCAUUGUUCAUUGCACUGGAUUUCUG
rnacentral:misc_RNA from 1 species